rnacentral:pre_miRNA from 1 species
UGGACAUAUUAUUGUAUUCGACUGUAUUCACGGCGUGAAACAUGGGAUUACACUGUUUUUAAACAGAAAGUGAAUCAAUUAACAUAAUAGACUCCU